CAUGUCCUUUUGAUUAUAAUUUAAGGUCUAAUCUGCUCAAUGAAUUUUAAAUAGCCGCAGUAUUUUGACUGUGCAAAGGUAGCAUAAUAAUUAGUUUCUUGAUUAGGAACUGGAAUGAAUGAUUGGACGAGAAAAUUUCUGUCUCUUUCUUAACUUUAUUGAAUUUUAUUUUUAAGUGAAAAAGCUUAAAUUUAUAUAAAAGACGAGAAGACCCUAUAGAGUUUAAUAAGAUUUUUUAAUGACAGGUUAGUAUAAUUAUUUAAAAAUUUUUAUUUGGUUGGGGUGACAUAAAGAUAGAAAAAAUUCUUUAAAAUAAUAAUUGAUAAUUUUCAAAUUUUAAAUCUAUAAUUUAUAAAAUUAAAAUAAAUUACCUUAGGGAUAACAGCGUAAUUUUUCUUUAAAGUUCAUAUUAAAAGGAAAGUUUGCGACCUCGAUGUUGGAUUAAAAUUAAUUUUUGGUGCAAUAACUUAAAAAUUAGGUCUGUUCGACCUUUAAAAUUUUACAUGAUCUGAGUUUAGACCGGUGUGAGCCAGGUUGGAUUCUAUCUUUAGAGAGUAAAUUAUAUUUUAGUACGAAAGGACCAAAUAUAAAUUAAAUUAAUUG
rnacentral:rRNA from 1 species